GGUUCAUUCAAAUUUCUGCCCUAUCAACUUUCGAUGGUAAGGUAUUGGCUUACCAUGGUUUCAACGGGUAACGGGGAAUUAGGGUUCGACUCCGGAGAGGGAGCCUGAGAAACGGCUACCACAUCCAAGGAAGGCAGCAGGCGCGCAAAUUACCCAAUCCCGACCGGGGAGGUAGUGACAAUAAAUACAGAUACAGGGCUCUUUUGGGUCUUGUAAUCGGAAUGAGUACAAUUUAAACCUCUUAACGAGGAACAAUUGGAGGGCAAGUCUGGUGCCAGCAGCCGCGGUAAUUCCAGCUCCAAUAGCGUAUAUUAAAGUUGUUGCAGUUAAAAAGCUCGUAGUUG
rnacentral:rRNA from 1 species